GCCCAAGUGAAGCACAGAGGGGAACUUUUGUGCAGGACAGUGUGCCGGACUUUCAAAAACAGUUUCUGGCAAAAAGGGCUGAGUCAAGUGGGCAGCCAAGGAUAGAGCAGCCCUCCUUAACCAGCUUGUUCAGUCUGUUCCUGUCCGGCUCUGUGCUGCCUGGAGUCCAGCAGACAACAGCAUAGAGGAUAGCAAAGGCUACCACAGAGUCAUAAAAAGUCCUGAGCAAAGGCCUGCACACUCCAAAGGACCUCCUCAGAGGAUAGAGGCAACUCUGGCCCUUCUUCUAUAGGGCGUUGUUGUUAUGGGACCAGCCUGGUUUAUUGUUGAGAUGAACUCCAAGAGAUGAGAGACAGGGUGAUGGUAGAACAAGCGACAAAACUGCUCAUUUCACAGCUUAGUCUCCAGGCUAUAAAACAAGGUAUUAGCACAAGCCACUUCAACAGAAAAGGACCGAGGUUUUGGAUGACUACCGUAUUGAGUUAAACAGAACCUAGUCUGACUUCAAAAAGAAACUCUAAUUUUAUGUUUCUUUUCAAUUGACCCAUUCACCCAUGUCACUGUUAAACUUUCUGGUAAUUUCUUAUCACUACCGCCUUUUCAUCUUUUGUUCAAAUUUAAGGCUGGAAACUAAAAUAUCUGCAAGGUUAAAGUAAAUAAAAUGGGAGCACAACUUACAAACCAGUACAGUCCUCAAAAUCUGCUAAGGUGGAAUAUUUGGAUAUGAAACCUCUAAAAAGUGCAUUUAUUAAUUGUUUAAUUUAUUUGUUUCUGUCACGCACAACAUUGAUGGAAAAAGUCAGCAAUCUUGCUAUCCUACACAAAGUAUCACAUCAGAGUCCCAAACAAGGCAUUUCUAAAUGAUCGGUAUCAAAUUCCAUGACUAAACUUAACAUCCAGAGCUUGUUGGUUUCCUGUCUGUAGUUUUAUGUGAGCCGCACCCACAGUGAACAUGAAGGCUGCAUUUUGCACAGUCAACUUUUUAAACAGUAUUAUUUUGGAUUACUUUCUUGAAGUAUAUAAUCUGGGUUUUUCUUUACCCAAUUAAACUCUUCCUCCUCCCAGUUCACUUCCUGUAAAAAAGCUUCACAAUAAAAUGCCUGCCACAGGGGACUCAACCAAACAUUUUACCAGUGUACUGGUGCAUAAUGGAGUAUUCAGCACUCAUUCCACAACAUUUAAAAAAUAUAUUAAAAAGUAGUUAAGGAAGAACUUAGUGCUUUGUAACACAUGAGUUUACUGAAGAGCAGUGUUGGGUGAUGCAAUAUUCAUAUAUCAUGACGGAUUCAAAUAUGUUGACGAGCUGCCAAAGCAGAGAAAUUGUGAUAUUGUAUAUAAGGCACAUUCUAUGUGUCAAAAAGGUAGUGCUCCUGCUUGUUUCUUUCAUAAGGUAGAGCAAGUUAGAGGGCAGCUAAGGAAAAUAACUGCAAUAAUAAUGAUGCCUGUUGCCUAUUGCCACAUGGUUGCCUACAUUUAAAAGGCCAGGUGGAGAUUUAAAAUGUUGCUAAUGGAAAGAACAAAUAUUGGGGUUGUUGAGCUCACCAAGAUUGGUAGAACCCAGAAAAGUUGAUAUUGUGUUGGAAGCGCUAGCAGGGGAAGCCAAAAGACAGGUUAGUGUUCUUGAGAAUAAUGAAACAGACCAGAUUAUUGCUUUUCUGGAUUCCCUAUUUGGUGACUGGACACUUGUUCCAAUUCUGAUGUCUCAACUCCUUAGUUGCAGGUGAAUUUACAAUAGUUCAAAACUGCUCUAGGGCUGAGUGAAGGUCCUCUGGCUCAACCCUUGUAAAUAUAUACAUGUUGAAACUCAAAUGAGGAUUUUGCUGCCUAAGGCAGCCGAAGGCAUUACUGGUGGACUUAGAGCACCAAACACACAAUUUGAGGGAACUCUUUAGUGAAUAACCUCCUUUGCUUCUCUUGUGCUUCCAUAAUUUUCUCCUGCUGCCCCAGUACUUAUAGACAUGACCACAGUAACAGCCAGUUGACUUUUUACAGUAUGAUUCAAUUACUGACUGUAAUGAGGGAUCUAAAACAUUAAAAUAAAACCACACUAAAACAUGCAAAUUAUGAUCUACACAAAAACAAUUAAGAAAUGUAUUUCCCCACUGACAUCACCAAUGACCAUUAAUUAGAUCUUAGCGUUGUUUUAAGCAUUAUGACAACUUUUUAUCAAGUGGAUUAUUUUUUUAGCGACCAUGCUUUUAAAAAGAAUUGGCCAUCAAGCAUGGUCGCAGAAGUGAACAAGAGGCAGUGAAAGUAAUGCAGGGAUAUUUACACCACCAAAGAGCACCCAAUGUUAAAGCUAUAUAUUUAGCUAUACUUUGGGUUGCUAUUAUAUGCAGUCUGCAACUGCUCAAGGAAGGCUUUUUUAAGGUUUUUAGUUUUCACUAUCUGCAAAGGGAAAGUACAAUAGCAGUGUCUCUCCUCUUGAUGCUGUUAAGCUGUAGGGAUUGUAUUUCAGGGUCUGCUUACACUUGGAAAGACAGCCAAAAUAAGAACACGAGGGAUUAUGCCAACAUUUAUAGCAAUAUCAACACAGUAUCAACACAGCAAAACAUUUACAAUAAAAGCCAUAACCAUGUGCAAAGCUAUCUGAACUUCGGAUUUCAUGAAGUUACAGUGCUCACAGUAUCAUCUCUGCACACACUCCUGAUGCUGAGUGCAUGGUGAGUUGAGGCUGCAGGCUAUAAUUUACCCCUGACCCAUAUCAUUUAAUACAGAAGACACUGUGUUGUUAAGAGUGUGAUGAAAUGCUAAAAAAAUACUACAACAACUAAUGCUACGAAUAAUAACAUUGAUGUGGAAGUUAAAAUGAUAGCCAUUAGGUAGCUAUUGUGAACUUCAACUGUUGUUUUGUUUUAAAUCCAAAAUGAGUGUUUGAGUUAGACAAUUAAAUUAGACAUAGUGUAUAUCAAGUCUCAACAAUGGCAACAUAUUUAUUAAGUGUCAGUAGUGCUUGGUGCAAGUUGGUAAAAUUGUGCAAACUGAAUCAAGCAUGCUUAGAAAUGCUCUUUGUACCCUAAGUGCUAUGAUAUCUUUCUUUUCAUUAAGAGCUAUGCUUAUUGUAGGGUGAUCAUAAUAAAACUAUAAUGCCAUAGCGCCCACCGCUACUAAAUACUGCAGAUGUAUGUGUUGAGUGAACCACAUGCUGGAAAAGCUUAUUAAGGCAGUUCUGUAAAAACACCAGUUUGGGCAAAAUAUAUGUCACUUUCAAGGAAAUUAAACAGGAGAGACCCUGGAGCAUUCUUGGUCAAUGGGUUAAGUGUGGCACAGUCAUAAUACUAAUGUAGUCCAUGCAAUUCUGAUUAAACUCAUAGGGGUAAAUGUCAGAUUUCCAAACUGAAUGCAUUAUGGAAUGCUACACAAGUUAUGUAGUGGAUCCAGUUCCCCGUCCUCGUGACUUUGACUGGUAACUGGAGGGCCCCGUCCAACAGGCAUGGGGAAAUAAGGAAAUGGCAUUUAUGUGAGAACAGUUUAUUGACUGUCAGUAGUGUUGAUCUAACAUUUGAAAGCUAAAUAAAGCUGAUUCUGAUUCUAUAGUCAGAAAAUACCUGUGAUAACAUGACGCAUACAGAUAUGGCGAGAGGACCAUGCUUCCUGAAGAUGUGCGCCACCGCCUCACACUUUUCCUACCACUCAGAGAGCUAUCAAAAGCUGCUUUCACAAUGUGCUGUACAUGUAUGUGCUAAAAUAUGUUGGAAUAAUUGUAUAUAAUUUUUAUCUUAUAUUUUUCUUUUCAUCUUAUAUUUUUUCCUUUUCUUUAACUUGACUAUUUGAUCUUUAUAACCUUUCACAUCCUAUGUGUGAGCAA